GGGGAAUAUUGCACAAUGGGCGCAAGCCUGAUGCAGCAACGCCGCGUGAGGGAUGACGGCCUUCGGGUUGUAAACCUCUUUUAGUAGGGAAGAAGCGAAAGUGACGGUACCUGCAGAAAAAGCACCGGCUAACUACGUGCCAGCAGCCGCGGUAAUACGUAGGGUGCAAGCGUUGUCCGGAAUUAUUGGGCGUAAAGAGCUCGUAGGCGGCUUGUCGCGUCUGCCGUGAAAUCCUCAGGCUCAACCUGGGGCGUGCGGUGGGUACGGGCAGGCUAGAGUGCGGUAGGGGAGAUUGGAAUUCCUGGUGUAGCGGUGGAAUGCGCAGAUAUCAGGAGGAACACCGAUGGCGAAGGCAGAUCUCUGGGCCGCUACUGACGCUGAGGAGCGAAAGCAUGGGGAGCGAAC
rnacentral:rRNA from 1 species